UACGGAGGGGGCAAGCGUUAAUCGGAAUUACUGGGCGUAAAGCGCACGCAGGCGGUCAAUUAAGUCGGAUGUGAAAGCCCCGAGCUUAACUUGGGAAUUGCAUCUGAAACUGUUGGGCUAGAGUACUGUAGAGGGGGGUAGAAUUCCCUGUGUAGAGGUGAAAUGCGUAGAGAUGUGGAGGAAUACCGGUGGCGAAGGCGGCCCCCUGGACAAAGACUGACGCUCAGGUGCGAAAGCGUGGGGAGCAAACAGG
rnacentral:rRNA from 1 species